GAUGAACGCUAGCUACAGGCUUAACACAUGCAAGUCGAGGGGCAGCACAGUGUAGCAAUACAUGGGUGGCGACCGGCGCACGGGUGCGUAACGCGUAUCCAACCUUCCCGUUACUCUUGGAUAGCCUUCCGAAAGGGAGAUUAAUACAAGAUGGUAUUCAAAUUCCGCAUGUUAUUUGAAUUAAAGAUUUAUCGGUAACGGAUGGGGAUGCGUGACAUUAGAUAGUAGGCGGGGUAACGGCCCACCUAGUCUACGAUGUCUAGGGGUUCUGAGAGGAAGGUCCCCCACACUGGAACUGAGACACGGGCCAGACUCCUACGGGAGGCAGCAGUGAGGAAUAUUGGUCAAUGGUCGGUAGACUGAACCAGCCAAGUAGCGUGAAGGAUGAAGGUUCUAUGGAUUGUAAACUUCUUUUAUACGGGAAUAAAACACCUUACGUGUAGGGUCUUGUAUGUACCGUAUGAAUAAGCAUCGGCUAACUCCGUGCCAGCCGCCGCAGUAAGAC
rnacentral:rRNA from 1 species